CGUAGCGGUAGGACGGAAGGGGGACACCUUCGGGUGUGCUGGCCUCGUGUGACCAGUUCGUCAACCCUCUUUCGUUCUGCCACCAUA
rnacentral:antisense_RNA from 1 species